rnacentral:lncRNA from 10 species
GGGUUAUUUAAUCUUUUCUAGCUUGAGUUUCUUCAUCUGUCAGGUGGGUUUCGCAGUUGUACCUGGCUCAUGUUUGGGGAGCACGUGCUACCACACAGGAAGAUGCUCUGCAUGGUAUCUGGUUCACAAGAGGUGUUCGACAGAGCUUUGCCUCUGUCAGCUCUUGGCAAUCGUUAACACAGCCUAAAACCCAAGCUAAAUGCAAGCUGCAAGGCCACCGUGCACCUGCCUUCUGUGUCAGCGGCCAGAGCCCAGGGUGGCGCAGAGCAGGUGCUCUGGUGGGAACUUGUUCAGCUCGGUGUCCUUCAAUGCACUCUGAUUCUCUAACCCUUUAAAAACUGUUCUCUCAGCAAGUCUUAGGUUGGCCUGAGGCAUAGAGAAGAGAGAUAUUAUCCCCCGCAGACUGAGGGGAAACAGAGAAAGGAAGACGAUGCUCCAGUUAGCAAGUCUCUGCCAUGGCCCCUGGCCUGGCUGCCCCACAAGGUCAGGGCUCACGCCCCAUGGUGCAGGCUCAUGGCUGAGCCUCCCCGGCACCAGGGCAGGCCACCGUGAAGGGCUCAGUGCUCUCACUGACGAACACUCUCUCUCAAAAAAACUCUACUCUACUUGCUCCGGCAAACAGGCCCCGGCCGCACUCUCUCCCCCUGUGUGCUGGCGUGUCGGGUGCGGCCUCCACCGCCUGUGCACUGGGACACCAGGAACAUGCCACGGCUGCUCACGGGUCAUCAUUUAUUGAGAUGAGAAUUCACAUAAAGUAACAUCAUACAGAAAAUCGUUUCCAGGCCUUAAGAAAAAUGAUUGUCACUCACUGUGCUUCACAAAAAUUUCUUUUAAUGAAUAAAUAAUUUGAUGAAAUCAAAAAUAUUUACAAUAUAAACACAUGGAAAAGCUCUGGGUCCGUGAAUCUGAUCGUUGAGUUUUGCAUUUUGUGAACUGAGUCCUCCCCCAAGCUUUUCCCUUGGAAACAAUACAAAUCUGACAGAAACGACGACUCAUACAACAUAUCUUUGUUCAUUACACAUUUAUCUGUUAGUCCUGGAAAGCUACAUAAGCAUAUAUUAUGCAACAUGUUAAAGUACA